CCUACGGGAGGCAGCAGUAGGGAAUCUUCCACAAUGGGCGAAAGCCUGAUGGAGCAACGCCGCGUGGGUGAAGAAGGUCUUCGGAUUGUAAAACCCUGUUGUUAGAGAGGAAAGUGCGAGAGUGUAACUGUUCACGCUUCGACGGUACCUAACCAGAAAGCCACGGCUAACUACGUGCCAGCAGCCGCGGUAAUACGUAGGGGGCAAGCGUUAUCCGGAUUUAUUGGGCGUAAAGGGAACGCAGGCGGUCUUAUAAGUCUGAUGUGAAAGCCUUAGGCUUAACCGGAGUAGUGCAUUGGAAACUGGGAGACUUGAGUGUAGAAGAGGAGGGUGGAA
rnacentral:rRNA from 1 species